CCCUCAUUUAAUCCAUCUGAAAAUUCCAAAAUACCCUUGAAUCCCUAAAAUAUUGUAAGGUUUUCAUUCUUUUCCUCACCAGCCGCACAUGACCUUCCUUGCUUUCUCUGCCAUGGCAGAAAAGAUUUUGGCAUUUUCCUUCAUUUUUUACAAAGGUUUGACCCCAAAAUUUCACCAUUAGAGAACUGUGUGCUCUAUUUCGAGUAAUAGUUAUCCGUUUCUACCUUUUCCUUGGCAGGCCAUCAGAGAUUUUCCUCUUUUGCAUCCCAAAAAUCCUUGCGAAUCCAUUUGUUUUCAGAAGGAAAUGCACCAUUUGAGAAAUGCUAGGCUCCUAAGCAAGAAAGAUUCUGAUCGAGGCAACAAAAAACUAGCAGAAAAAUCACAUAAACCCGCUAUCAUUUUCAAACGUUCAGAUUCAAGAGAAAUCUCACCCAAAAUGACAAACCCAAAAUCUCUAGCUUAUAGCUAUAAAUAUCAGCCUUAAAGAUUCAUUUUAAAAACAUCAGGAACAACACACACACUAAAAAAAACCACUUUUUUUUCUAUCUACGAUUUUUUUCUGAACGUGUUCAAGUGAGUCGACUAUUGAGCGCAGAUCUGUGACCCAAGUCCUAGUUCACUGUACUCGAAAAAGGUUAGUACUAGUCCUUUCUUUUCUCUCUUUUUGAUUCUACUCAGAACCUGUUUUUUAUGUGUCAAACGUUCAGAUUCAAGAGAAAUCUCACCCAAAAUGACAACCCCAAAAUCCCUAGCUUAUAGCUAUAAAUAUCAGCCUUAAGCUUCAUUUUAAAAACAUCAGGAACAACACAUCACACUAAAAAAACCACAUUUUUUUCUAUCUAAGAUUUUUUUUGAACGUGUUCAAGCGAGUCGAGAGCGUAGAUCUGUGACCCAAGUCCUAGUUCACUGCACUAGAAAAAGGUCAGUACUACUUCUUUCGUUUCUCUCUUUUUGAUUCUGCUCAGAACCUGUUUUUUAUGUGUUAAAAAUGCUUUUUAAUUUUCAAGAUGUUUUAUUUCGUAUUGCGGAUGCCAUUAUAAUAGGGGAUUUCAUUUGUGCUCGUUAAAUCGAGAUUAUUACUCUGUAAUUGAUAUUUUCAUUUGAAAAACAUGGUUUAAGAUCCCUGUUUCACUAAGUAAUAUUUAAAAGCAGUUCGAUAAAAAAAAAUCAUUUUUCUUUCUCACUCGAGAGUGCUCAUCUGUAUGUGAUUUUGUCACUGUUCAUGUUAGAAUAUACACCACCGAUUUAUUUUUAUUUGCUUAAAAGGACAUAUUGCUUGCAGAAAACUUGUUUAUUGUUUAAAGUUUGGAUAUUAUAGCUAUACCGGGAUCAUUUGAAGUUUUCUUUCUUUUGCUUGUAUCAGUAAUAUAAAAUGUCUUCUAUGGUUAAAGGAGAUCUAUGACAUCCAUUCUAGUCGAGACCUAGAAGUUCAAUGAUGUACUGUAUCUGCGUUGGGAAAUCUGCUUGCGGUCGUGUUAGUUCUUGUGUUAUUUUUAAGUAGUGUGUUAUGACUUUACGACAGUUUAACCAGUCAUGUUGUCAAAUAAAUUUUUGAACUAAUAAUCACUGUUUUUUUAUGCUCAAAAUUGAACAAGUUGUCGGAGAAUCGUUCUUUUCUUUAGAAUGUAAACUACAUCAUUGUUUCCAACAUGUUUAAGAUGUAUGUAGUUUUGUGCGAAUAGCUCUGGUCUUAUAUUCACGUAGGGGUGUCGGUUUUCACAGUUAAAAACAUAGCAUAAACUUCAUAUAUAAGUAACACCCUAUAAAUCAGUAGCUAAGUUAAGGUCAAAAUCAAGUCGUUAAAACGAUUUACAUGAUAUCCCUUUGAUUUCUCUGUAUUUUAGUAUGUUGUUUGCAUUUUAAGUUUAAUGUUCGUUUCUUUUCACAUCUUGUUGUAUCCCUGCUAGUUAUGCUUUAAGAUAUAGCUGAAGUGUGGUGUGUGUUUAUUUUUUUAUGACCACGUAUACUCGUCUGUUGGCUUUUUAAAAUUCAGAUUCAUGUACUAAUACUCUUUUAAAUGCAUUAACACAGUUUCAUACUUCACUACAUGUAGAAUUUAUUUUUUUAGUACUUUAGUUAAUUUAAAAUUACUCAAGAUGAGACUUUGGAUAAAAAAAUGGAAUUUUUUUUCUCUACUGGACAUAGAUCAUUUCAUUGGAGUACUUCGUCGUGGGUUCUUUUAUCGAGUCUUUCUAUCUGUAAAUGCAUUGUGAAUAUAUUUUGCAUAAGUUACCUUGCUGAUCUUCACAUUUUUCUUUUCUUCACAUGUAAUGCACCCGGAGUGACAAAGAGUCUCGUUUUGAGACUCGAUAUGACUGCUGCUAAAUCCAAGACCCGCAUUUACAUCUUAUUGCAUCUUGUCUCGCCCUUUAUGCCUCCAAGCAGAAAAGGAAAACAGAAAGAGGGGCGAGAUGACGCUUCUAUCUCUCAUUAGUCAUUGCCUUCGCUCUCUCCUAUCCGAAUAUGGAAAUGAGAGCGAGGGAGUUACUUCUAUUUUUAGAUUUCUUUCUCUUUGACUCCUUUCUGCUUUGUUAGUAACUUGCUGGACUUUUUUACUUUGAUUAUCUUCAUAGAGGAAUAUGACUAGUGCUAGUAUUAACUUAGAAAGGGUAGUCGGUAUAAGGGGAAACCGAUAGUACAGGGGUAUAUUUGACCCUUUUUCCGUACUUACAAUGUUUUUCAACGUUCUGAGAAUUUAGGUAUGUAUUUGUAAUCUUUUUAUUUCAUUGGUAGUAUUGCAUAGAAGAAGACGUGAUCUAUUUUCAAGUUUGUUGCAAACUGAUUUUUUCGAACUUGGACAACUUCUUUUGAGAUAUUAAAGAUUGAUUUUCUACAUGAACGUGGUUUUGAAAUGCUAAUCGAUAACAUGUGUAUCUGUUGAACUCUUCUUUCCUUUUAACAAACAAUUAACAAGUUUAAUAUGAAGGUACAACUUUUUUUGUUUAAUCAUGAUUCGAAUUUGGGCUUUUAGAUGAAAGAAAGCUAAUCAAAAGAAGUACUCCCUUUUUUUGCCUCACUAGAUCAUCUUUUGUUUUAAGCUUACAUCCUUUUCUAUAAUGUUUUUUUUUUUUGAAGCAAAUUUCAGAUUCUGUUCAACUUUUCUUUUAUUAAAAUCAAUCACUUUAAGUUCAAAUCGUUAACUUCGUAUAAGACGGUGAGAUUUCUAUCGGUUUCCUUUUUAAACAAAAUGAGUCAAAAGAUUGUUUUUUUUUUUAUGAUUUUGGUUGCCAUUUGUUGAAAUUUGGUUACAAUUUUUUUAUUCCUUUUAAAAUUUGAAGUGAUUGAUAAUAAGUCCACUUCGUUACAAGAAGUAAACAUUUUUCUAUCUAAUUACCUUAAUAUUUAGCUAUGAAUACCUUUUCUCAAAUGACAUAUAAAGUAGUAAAAUAUUAUUUUAUCUUCAUUUUCAAUAUUAAUCUAAGUUUGAUCGGUAACUGUAUUUAGCGGAUUCUAAUGGAUGUCUAAGACCUUCUCAUUAGGAUAUUUAGAACCUUACCUAGAAUUUAUUAGGUUAGUAAGAUCUUUAAAAUUGGAGUUUAUUUUAGGCAUUUACUUUGUUAAAAUAGGUGUCCUAAUUUACUGUUAAAAUAAUUAGGUAGCGACUCCUUAAGUUAAAUGAUUAGGAAUCACCAAUAUGUUGUACUCUGUUUUGAUCCGGUUAAAAUGGGGUGUAACAUGGGGCCCUCACACAUAUAAAUGUGACCCCGCUGAACACGGUUUCAUAGACUCCCUAAAGACACUUGAACCUAGGCUCUGAUACCAAGCUUUGUCACACCUCGAAUCAUGACCUGAGAGUAACACGACACUCGGUGCCUGACUACAUGUGAUCGAGCGAAUCACAUGGCUUGCUGAAAUAUCAUGUGGCAUACAUGAGUGGAAUGUAACAUAAAACAUGAUGGGCUUUAGGAAAACACAUGAAGUCAUAAUAACUUGUAAAAUACUUGCUUAAAACAUGAAUGCGGAAAUACCAUGAAUCAAGAGAAAGAUGGCUAAAUAACUCUGAAUUUCUAACAUAACAUAACUGACUGGUCUAGUCUAUGAAAUAUCUAUCAUGAGUCUGAUUGAAAAACAUACGUGCUGGGACAAAGCCCCCAGCAUACCUUUAAAUGCAUAACUAAUCAUAAAAUAAAGAUAACUAACUAAACCCCGAAGAAAAUGGGGCUCACCAACAAGCUGAUAAGUUUGAAGUCCUACUAAGCAGAUACGUCGUCCUAUAAAUCAGUACAUGCAUCAUGAAAUGCAGGCCCCCGGGCAAUAAAAGGGGACGUCAGCACAUUGAAUGUACUGGUAUGUAAAGCAACUGAAAGAAAAUAACAUGGGACAUGGAAUAACAUGAUGAGAAGUGAAACUGAAAACCUGGACAUGAACAUGAGCAUGAAUACAUACAUAUAUAACGUAGGUAAAACAUUUUAAGCUGGAAGAGCAAUAAACAUAUAACCGACAACAUGGCCUGGUACUUGCGUCCUACCAACAGAACACUCACACCUUGCCAUGGUAAUGAGAUUUAAUAAUAUUAUGAAAAGAUCCAGUUUUUAUGAGAGAUCGUCCUAACCUUGGGUGGAGCGAUCCUCAUCCUACGGUGGCUACGUAGUUUUAGGCUGCUUGAAGCCUUCUCGGUAAUUAAUACCAAAAAUAUGAACAUGGAAAAUAAGUGGCACUUGCUGCCCAUGGAUUUUCACGAAUCAUAACUUGCAUGUAUAUGGAUAUCAUUUGUAUUAUUCUUGCAUAAACUUACAAAACAUAUACAACUUUUCUUGAAAAUAUAAUAAUAGUUCAUAAACUAGCAUGUCAGAACCCAUGGAAUGCAAAGUAUGGGUUUUCAUGAAUUACGGACAAAUUUUCAAUAAUCAUAAUAAUGUAUCAAGAACAUAAAAUGAAGAAUUUAUAACAAUUUAAUACAAAUUAUAACAUGAGGCAUGGACCAAGAGUUAUCAUGAACAUGAUUAAAAACCCUAGUUUUCGUAAAGCUUCAUACUUCAUGGAAGAAAAAGUAUGGGGAAGAACAAUGAUGUUCCCGCACGUAGAUAGCAACCCUACAUAGUUGGUAAUCCUCCAACUUGUAUUAAAAAUCUGAUCUUGGAAGAAGAAUCUCAAGGUUUAAGUCUUGAGUCCUUUAAAUGGGUAUUUUUUGAUAACCCUAUGUUAAGAACAAUGAUUUCAUGAUUAGAUUAUAAGAACACAUGUUAGAAUUAAUUUGGAAGAGCUUGGUUUGACUUACCUUGAUGUUCUUGGUGUUGGAGGAGAGGAACAGGUCGUUCCAGGAUUUAAGGACUUGUAAAAAUAAGAAUUAGAACUGAAACCAUGUAUUUAUAGUUUCUGGUGCGACGAGCGAAAUACGGACCAAAAUACGAUCCGUAUUCUGAAUUACGGUCUGUAUUCCUGGAUCGUAAUUAAGCAUAUUCCAAAACAGAAACACUGUAACACCUUGUCCCCAAAUUCGAUCAUCAAAUACGGGACGUAUUUCAAAAUACGGUAUAUAUUUAACAAUAUACUUUCCCAAGCCAAAUUUCAGAAUACACAGUGAUUUUAGAUGCCCAAUUAGGUUCUAAAAUACGGGCCCGUAUACUGGAAUACGGUCUGUAUUCUAUAUCGUAAAUCCUCACCUAACAACAGAAGAGAAAUUUCUAACUCCCACAUUCUCUAUCUGGUUUUCUAAGUCUAGAAUCAUGGUUAAGGUUUUAGUUAAAGGUGCGGGUUGUUACAAUUUAAUCCUCCGUGUAUAAGCUAAACUCUAUACACUAAAUCAUCUACUAUAUAAGUAAAGGACACACAUACUAGUACAUGAUUUAUUUAACUCUUUAUUAAAAAAUGAAUAAAUAAUUUUUCUAUAAUAAAUAUUAUAUCCAAACACAUGGUUAAUAGUAUAUAUCCCAACAAUCUUCCACUUAGACUUUUAAUCAUGACAAUUGUUAGAAUAUACCAUAUCUAAAUGCAUGGUUUAUUGUAUAAACCCCAAUAAUCUCCCACUUAGACUUUUAACCAUGCAUUUACAAAUUUCACAUGUAUUCCUUUUGCACAACUACCAAAGGUGUUAGCCAAUAAGCUCUUUGCCAAAAAAAAAACUUGGCAAGUUGUUUCCUGAUGCAACUCGUCUAGUAGUGCUUCGUCGUAACUAAUCAGUUUUGUGCUAAGAUCUUCAGGAAUCCUAUCAUGAAACUCUCUUAAAAGUGUGUUUCUGUUAUAGCCCGCAUUUUGUACGUUCGGAUAUUUCGAGAUCGUCGUGGCAAGUUAAGGGCAAGACCAUUUUAAAAAAUUAUUUUAAGGUACAAGUUGGUUAUGGAUAUUAAUUAUGAAUAUUAUUAGUAUGAAAAUAUUGAGGAAAGCUAAGGAAAAAAAAAUUCACAAAAAGGGUUCAUGGUAAUAUUGUGGAAGACUAAGGGUAAAAUGGGAAUUUCACAUAGUGUUCAAGAAAAUUCUUGAAAUGCCACUUUGGCCAUGUGACAUAAAAAGUGGGCCCCACCCAUGGCCAUGUGUCCAUGUUCUUACUUAAGGGACCAAAGUUUAUACAACAAGACAAGUGGGUAUAAUUGUUAUUUUAAGAAAAUUCUAGAAGAAGGGGACAAGAGCCAUGUGCUCAUAAUUUUUAGUAGGACCAUGCAAAAAUAUACAUGUAUGAAGUGAUGACAAAAUAAGAAAAAUUAGUCAUCUUAGUUUUAAUUUAAGAAACCUCUAGAGAAGGGGGCAUGUGCCCCUCACAUGCUUGUGGGAACUAUAUAUAUAUGGAAAGGUGGGGGAAAAAUAAGACAUAUUCUUCACUUUGCAAUUCUAGAAAAUUGAAGGCAAAGAAGGAGAACCAUUCGGCCAAGGGGGCUGGCCGAAUAUGGUCCCUAAUUUUUUAUUAAAAAAAAAUGUUUUCUUCUAGCUUUCCUACCAAUUGGAAGGUCCUCUACGACGUGGAGUAAUUGUUAGAGCAAGUAAAAUAGUCUUUUGGUGCAAAUUCAAGCCCUAGCCGAGUGAAGAAGAUGUGUGGAGAAAGAUUAGCAAGGUUGGACAAAUAGGCGUAGCUAGUUGGUCGCGAGACAGGUACACCCAGAUGAGUUGAAGCUAUUACAGAAGACGUUCCAGCGGAAUUGGCAAGCUCCACUUGUUCCUGGGGUGCUGCCAAGUCAGAGUAUAUGUGUUAUGGUGUCUGAUUAGUGUUAGAGACUUUGCAGACAGAGUCGUGGGUAUAGAAUGUCAGUUUGUAAGCGGCUCCAUCAGCCGAUGCGUCAUUUGUGUUAUGAUAUAAGUUCUAUAUGAUUACAAAUUUUGUAUGAUUUAAAGAUUAUUUCUGAAAGUUGUAGUAUGUAUAUCAUCUUUAUUAAUUUAACAAGUCCAAAAGAUUAUGUAUGUAAUAAGAGUCAGUGGGUUCGCUCGGCUCCGAAUAAGGGGUCGGGUGCCCAUCACACCCUAGUAAGGUUAGGGUGUGACAGUUUCCUUUUAGGAACCUAUCAUGAAAUUCUCCCAAGAGUAUACACUUGAACCGAUCUUGGUGAUUA